rnacentral:misc_RNA from 1 species
GAAAUGCGAUAAGUAAUGUGAAUUGCAGAAUUCAGUGAAUCAUCGAAUCUUUGAACGCACAUUGCGCCCGCCUGUAUUCUGGCGGGCAUGCCUGUCCGAGCGUCAUUUCAACCAUCAAGCCCCCGGGCUUGUGUUGGGGACCUGCGGCUGCCCGCAGGCCCUGAAAACCAGUGGCGGGCUCGCUGUCACACCGAGCGUAGUAGCAAUCACCUCGCUCAGGGCGUGCUGCGGGUUCCGGCCGUUAAACAGCCUUACAAAACCCAAGGUUGACCUCGGAUCAGGUAGGAAGACCCGCUGAACUUAAGC